rnacentral:misc_RNA from 1 species
GGGAUCCAUGACAGGAUCCC